rnacentral:rRNA from 1 species
AAUGAAUAAAAUUUUUAAUGGCCGCAGUAAUUUGACUGUGCAAAGGUAGCAUAAUCAUUAGUCUUUUAAUUGAAGGCUUGUAUGAAUGGUUGGACGAAGUAUAAUUUGUUUCAUAAAAAUUUAUAAUAGAAUUUUAUAUUUUAGUGAAAAAGCUAAAAUUUUUUUAAAAGACGAGAAGACCCUAUAAAUCUUUAUAAUUUUUAUUAUUUUAGUUUUUUUGAUUAAUUUUGUUAUUAUAAUUAAAAUUAUUUUAUUGGGGUGAUAUUAAAAUUUAAAUAACUUUUAAUUUUUUUUUUUCAUUAAUUUAUGUUUUAUUGAUCCAUUAAUAAUGAUUAUUAGAAUAAGUUACUUUAGGGAUAACAGCGUAAUUUUUUUGGAGAGUUCUUAUUGAUAAAAAAGUUUGCGACCUCGAUGUUGGAUUAAGAAAUAAUUUUAGGUGUAGAUGCUUAAA